rnacentral:rRNA from 1 species
UACGGGGGGGGCAAGCGUUGUUCGGAAUUACUGGGCGUAAAGGGCGCGUAGGCGGCCCUCCUUGUCGCGUGUGAAAGCCCCGGGCUCAACCUGGGAACGGCGCGCGAGACGGGGGGGCUGGAGUUCGGGAGAGGAGCGUGGAAUUCCCAGUGUAGAGGUGAAAUUCGUAGAUAUUGGGAAGAACACCGGUGGCGAAGGCGGCUCUCUGGUCCACAACUGACGCUGAGGUGCGAAAGCUAGGGGAGCAAACGGG